rnacentral:rRNA from 1 species
UACGUAGGGUGCGAGCGUUAAUCGGAAUUACUGGGCGUAAAGCGUGCGCAGGCGGUUUUGUAAGUCAGAUGUGAAAUCCCCGGGCUCAACCUGGGAACGUGCAUUUGAGACUGCAAAGCUAGAGUGUGGCAGAGGGAGGUGGAAUUCCACGUGUAGCAGUGAAAUGCGUAGAUAUGUGGAGGAACACCAAUGGCGAAGGCAGCCUCCUGGGGCCGGCACUGACGCUCAUGCACG